UUACUGCUUCGUAGGAGUUCUUGAAUACUAACAAAUUAUUAUGAGCAAUGUUCAAGCAUGGAAAUAAUUUUUGAAAAAAUGUACAGGAACAUUCAUCAGUAACAUUUUACUAUACUUUGUCAUAUACAUCUCUGUAUCAUCCAUCAAUUCAUCUUUUUAAAUGCAUUUUGAAGUAGGUUGCAGAUAGCUUACAUAUCAUUAAUUAGAGUUCAAAAUUUGGGGCUGGAAGAUCUAAGGUGGCUCAUCCCCUGGCUAGCAAUGUGGUGCUGGUGAGUUGGUUACUGGUUACGGGGCUGCUUGAGUCUCCUCAUGGCAUGGCGGAUGGCUUCUCCUAGAGAAAGAGCAAUAGAAGAGACCAAGGAGGAAGCUUCAGUGUGUCUUAUGACCUAGCCUCAGAUGUCACAUGCAACAGUGCUGUAUUGAUCAUAUGGGUCGUGUAUGAUUCAAUAUUGGAGGUGGGGUACACAGGACAGGAAUAUCAGGUGGCAAGGGUCUUUGGUGAGCAUUCUGAAGGCUAGUCAACACACCCACCUUUCCUUCAGACCACCUCUUUUCAUCAGCCCGGAAUCUCUUUUUUUGUGCUGGAGUGCCUGAUCUGAUUGUAGCUGUUUGAGGCAUCUGGAAUUCAUGGCCGGGUUUAGAACAACUUGGAAGGUCUCCUUUCCCCCUCUUCUCUUUCUUUUACCCUUCUCCCCUCUCUCUUCCUCUCAGCCUUACCCCCAACUCUAGUCUUUCUUUGCUUCUAGUGAGCGAGCAGGAGAUGCUCUGAGAGUCAACUGGGAAUGCAGCUGAUAAGGGUCUGCUGGGUGCAGGAAAUGUUGGAAGGUUUGCUUGCUGGGCUGUAUCACCUCCUGUAUUAUGGGAGCUUAGAGUAUUUGCCAGCUUGUCAGGACUACCAUCGUCUUCCAUGUUCUGAGACUGGAGUACCCAACAUUCCCCUAGCAGGGGACACUUGGCUUGAUAGGGCUCUAUCAAUCUAUAUUGUGAGGGUAGAGAUACUCAUAUUGCAAGGGGAGGCUGCAGGAGUUGCCUGCUGGGGCUAAGAUUAUUCCUUGUGUUUGGGAUAAAGGAGGGGUCACCGCAGGGGCAGUCAACUCAUGUUGGGGGAGACGGGAUUUGCAUUCUGGGCUCCCCUCCUCGUUUAUGUUAAGGGUGUUGCUUGCUGAUGCUUCUAUUAACUCUUACUUUGGGAUAAUGGGAAGAGAGAUAGUUUUCUGGGGUAUGAGUUUGUCACUUAUGUUGUAGAAUCUGGGGGGCUGCCUGUUGAGAUUCUGACCAUUGCUUGUUUUGGGUGUCAUUGCUGGGGAUACUUAUUUAUAGUCUUGGGAAGACAAGGGAUGCAUGUUGCAGCGGUAGUGGGUAAGAAUGGUGGCAUUUG
rnacentral:lncRNA from 1 species